UACGAAGGGGGCUAGCGUUGCUCGGAAUUACUGGGCGUAAAGCGCACGUAGGCGGCUUUCUAAGUCGGGGGUGAAAUCCUGGAGCUCAACUCCAGAACUGCCUUCGAUACUGGAAAGCUCGAGUCCGGGAGAGGUGAGUGGAACUGCGAGUGUAGAGGUGAAAUUCGUAGAUAUUCGCAAGAACACCAGUGGCGAAAGGCGGCUCACUGGCCCGGUACUGACGCUGAGGUGCGAAAGCGUGGGGAGCAAACAGG
rnacentral:rRNA from 1 species